rnacentral:rRNA from 1 species
GACGAACGCUGGCGGCGUGCUUAACACAUGCAAGUCGAACGGAAAGGCCUCUUUCGGGGGGUACUCGAGUGGCGAACGGGUGAGUAACACGUGAGUAACCUGCCCUUGACUUUGGGAUAACUUCAGGAAACUGGGGCUAAUACCGGAUAGGAGCUCCUGCUGCAUGGUGGGGGUUGGAAAGUUUCGGCGGUUGGGGAUGGACUCGCGGCUUAUCAGCUUGUUGGUGGGGUAGUGGCUUACCAAGGCUUUGACGGGUAGCCGGCCUGAGAGGGUGACCGGCCACAUUGGGACUGAGAUACGGCCCAGACUCCUACGGGUGGCAGCAGUGGGGAAUAUUGCACAAUGGGUGGAAGCCUGAUGCAGCAACGCCGUGUGCGGGAUGGCGGCCUUCGGGUUGUAAACCGCUUUCGCUCAUGCCGAAGCUUUGUGUGACGGUAGUGGGUAAAGAAGCACCGGCUAACUACGUG